rnacentral:tRNA from 1 species
GCCCCAGUGGCGCAAUGGAUAGCGCGUCGGACUUCUAAUCCGGAGUUGAGGGUUCGAGUCCCUCCUGGGUG